UAGGUAGGUGGUCUCGUUUGUCUGGGGUGAAAUCCUUGAGCUUAACUCAAGAAGUGCCCUAGAAACGGCGAGACUCGAGUACUGGAGAGGGUCGUGGAAUUCCCGGUGUAGCGGUGAAAUGCGUAGAGAUCGGGAGGAACACCAGAGGCGAAGGCGGCGACCUGGACAGGUACUGACACUCAACUACGAAAGCGUGGGGAGCAAACAGGAUUAGAUACCCUGGUAGUCCACGCUGUAAACGAUGGGUACUAGGUUUGGUGGGUCUUGACCCCCGCCGAACCGGCGCUAACGCACUAAGUACCCCGCCUGGGAAGUACGGUCGCAAGACUAAA
rnacentral:rRNA from 1 species